UAACCUGCCUGGUAGCGGGGGAUAACUAUUGGAAACGAUAGCUAAUACCGCAUAACAGUAGAUAUCGCAUGAUAUUUGCUUGAAAGGUGCAAUUGCGCCACUACCAGAUGGACCUGCGUUGUAUUAGCUAGUUGGUGAGGUAACGGCUCACCAAGGCAACGAUACAUAGCCGACCUGAGAGGGUGAUCGGCCACACUGGGACUGAGACACGGCCCAG
rnacentral:rRNA from 1 species